AUGACCCGAGCUGAAGGCAGAUGCUUAACCGACUGAGCCACCCAGGCAGGCCACAACUCUGAAUUUAUUACUGGACUUAAAAAACCACUUAAAACCACUUUCACGUGCUUUUAAAUAUUGACUAUUAAAAAAAUCUUGUUACUGCCGCACCUGGGUGGCUCAGUUAAGCUCCUGCCUUCCGCUCAGAUCAUGAUCCUAUGGUCCUGGGAUGGAGCCCAGCGGCAGGUCCCACCCAGUGGAGAGUCUGCAUCGCUCUGCCCCUCUGCCCCUCUCCCAUUCGUGAUCUCUCUCAAAUAAAUAAAAUCUCUUUAAAAAUUUUUGUUAUUUAGGCCUCUUUUUCUUUCAAACAAUGACAUGCCUUUGGCAUGUGGGAUUUUCGCCUGAGCUGAUGAUGAUGAAGGUGUGUGCCAUGAGCCCGUACUGCCUCCGAAGUGACAGCUGCCAAAACUAACAGCUGUGAAAUUAUUUGUGACCGUUGAGGAUAAACAUAUUUGUCCUUGUUCAUUAUAUGAUCAGUAAGUGCUAGCAAUUCCUAUCUGUCAAACCAUGAUUUCUUCUCCCCAGUGUAUUUCUUAGCUUGGAAGUAGACACAGAAACCAUGGCAUCGUUUGUUUUCUUUGGGAUCUGCGUUAGGAGUUUGGGCCCCAUUAUCAGGCAGGCCUUGGCCCCUCAUUCUCGGUGAGAUCGGACUUUCCUGUUUUUGUCAUUCUCCGUUUACUUCGUAGGCAUGCUUUGUGUGGGGAAGAAAAAUACCCGUGAAGGAAGCUUCUCCGAGGGCGACCAGGUGCACAGUUCAGCCAAGUACGAGUCGGCCCUUCCGAGGGGUCCGGCAUCUGCUGCUUGAGAAACUGAGCAUGUGGGAAGCAAACAGCCCUGCGUGGUGCUCCCAUCGUACCUCGGGGUGGCCGCUCACCAUGUGUGCCCUGAGCAGCACCCUGGGUCAGCUGUCACGAGGCCCUGCUUGCUCUCCUCUGAAGCUUCAUGGACAACUCUGUUCUUGGUCCCUUAAAUUUGGGGACCAAGAGGACCUGAUGCACUACAGAGCAACCCCUGCAGUGUACCCAUGGCAACCUGCUCAGGGGCUCAUGCUGAGGAUUAGAGCCCUGGUCUCUGCUUCUACAGCAGCUGUUGGAUGAUGGGAUGGUAGGUAUCGGGCCCAGAAGGCCUCCCAGGUCAGACUUCACCUAACUUCACCUUCGUGGGUGAGCAUCUCAGGACCCUUCAACAUUGCUGUCACAGGCUUCACCCCUGCUUGUGCUGUUGGUUGAGUUUUCCAGGUGACCGGUGGGGAAAAGAGGGACCAUCCACAUGUCAUAAAGGUGUUCAGUUUGAAAAUUUAGAACGCGGUUUUCAGGAAUGCUCCCAGGGCUUGGUGCUGUGGCCCCCUGGUCAGUUCAUUCUGAUCAGAUGCAGGUUGUGUCGUUUGAUUUCAGGAGGGUGUGAGUCAUUGCUAGAAGCUUCUUAGUGUGGGGUGUUGUGUUUGUUGGUUCCACAGAAGGGAGAUCAGGAUUCAAGAGAUUUUCUUGAUUAUGUUUGCUCUCUUAAGCUUUUCUGGAGGGUUUGACAUUCAUUUUCAUUCACUCACAUCUUAGGGUGAAUUAGUUUAUUUCAGGCACUUUCUUCUUAACACCUUGGAGAAACCUAUUUAAUGUGCUUGGAAGUCCCCAGUCACCUUAGUUUUGGUAAUUGGCUUUAGAAUGUACUGAGAACCCUGAUUCCCUGACAUGUCAGGUGCAGUGCUUGGGAAGCCCUGUUGGAAAUAUGAGCAGGGUCAGACAGAUUUGUUGUCCAAGGCCUUUCUCUCCAGUUGUAUUCAAGAUAAGACAUAUAAAGACAUAACUGUACAGAUCUUGCUGCCUCUGCACACACCACCUUCUGUGGCCCCCGCAGUGAUAGUGACCAUAGCCUAUGUGACCUGCCGCUCCUCCACACCUACUGGCCUCUUUAUCUCCAGAAAACUAGUGUAUUCCUGCCUUAGGGCCUUUGCAUGGACUCUCCCUGCUAUCUGGAAUGGGCCCUGUCCCCCACUCACUUCUCCCUGCUAUCUGGAAUGAUCCCUGUCCCCCACUCACUGCUCCUUUCUCAGUUCCUAGCACAGGGCCUGGUGAUCAGUAGGUACACAGUAAGUAUCUAGUGGAAGAAGUGAACAGCUCUGGAAUGAGUAUGGAAAGUCAGGGCCCCAUUGGAAGAGUCCCUGGUCUCACUGGGCCUCAGGUUUCUGUCAUCAAGAGGACUGUUUAGCUCCUUCAUGCAUUUGGCUGUUCUGACAUUACUGGAGUCCAGGAGAAAUGGGGCCCUGAGAAUCAGCCUCUGCCCCCUGGAGCUUCUCAGAGGGUAUGAACCUGUGUAGGAGUACCCCAAGGAUGGCCUGUGUCAUUGCCUUCCUUGGGUUGGUUGCUUGGCAUCUAUUGGCUACCAGGCUAUAUAUGGAGAGGGCCAGAGCUAGAUUUGUCCUGUCUUCUACCUAGAGCUCCAAGGUCCCAGUUGGGUGGAGUCCCUCUUUAUCCCUUGGGAAAAUAAUAAACUGUGGUUAGGAUGUAGUUAGUGAUUAGUCAGGCCUGUGUAAAGGCAGAUGUCCAUGUCUCUUAGAUGCAAGCCACAGUCUGUCCAGGGCCUGCAAUUUCACCCACCCAGCCCAGGCUGGCCCGGCCACACUGUGGCCUCACAGAACACCUAGCCACCAGGGACCACCCUCACUCAGCCCUGCUUUCAACUCUGCCUACAUUUUAUGCUCCCCACUACCCACCACCCAUAGGACACCUGCUCCCCGCUGCUCUUCAGUGACAGAAGAGGACCUGGUACAGUGUAGUUUUCCAAGAAAUGCACAUCAAGUGGACAAAUAUAGAGAGUUCAUUUGUAAGACAUCUGGCUGAGUUAAGCUAGAUUAGGGUUGAGUCAUUUCUGCUGAGAUUAUCACUAUUUAGUUUUUAUCUAGAGAGCAUUAUUAACUUCUGGAUAUUUAAAAAUAUUUUGAUAUUUCCUCCAAGGAGGAAAAAAGAGAGGAAGCUUCUUUUUUAAAACAACUUUGUUACAGAAAAAUGUAAAUGUAUCCACAGGCCGAAUAGCAUAUUGACUACCCAUGACCCAGCCCCAGCCCUAACAGGUCCCAGUUCAUACCCAUCCUGUUUCAUCCAGCCCCCUGUCCUCACCCCUGGAUUAAUUAGAAGCAAACCACAGAUAUGCCAUCCUUAAGUAUUUUAGUUUGUAUCCAAAAUGAGGCUUCUAAAAGAAAAGCCUAAGGGAGAGAUGAACUGCUAAUUCCCAUAUUCUGCAGGCCAAGUGGGAUGGAGCCCAGCUUGCUGUGUGACCCACGCUGAGUGGGUGUGUGUGCCGUUUGUAUGACAUCCAAAAGAAUCAAGCCUGGCUCUAGCCACUGCACAGGUAUCCCCAUGGUCAUUUCCUUCCUGUGCUGGUCAGGGACACCAUCACCAGCUCAGAAACUCUGAGGAGUUUUCCUCUUUUCCACUUCCUUUCAUGGUUUUGAAACAGAGAGGAAGAGCGGUAGCUUGAUCUGAUAACUGUUCAUUUACUAUGAGAGUUGGUGCCACAUAUUUAUAAGAAAGUGCAGUCAAAGUCUUGAAUAUCAUUAAUUUGAGGAAUGUUAAUGUUCUGGUAGGAUAGGAAGAAACAGACUUUGUUUUUAGGUUGUGUACAACUUGUAUUCUGCCACAUUGCUAGAUGUGGAUUCUUACAUGAAUGAUGGAGUGGAAUGUAACUCGUAUUUCUACACAUUGAGUCACUUCAGUGGAAUGUCAAUAAUUGUUCAAAAGUGUGCUGAAUGGAAGAAGAAAGGUGGCUUUAAAUAUGACAUCAUUUUUUUCUUUCAGAUUCUGAUGCUCAAAAUAAAAAAUCUCUCAGUCAGCAAAACUAGAUAAAAUGUUAGAAAAAAAACAAAACAAAAUGUUACCCAACAACAAAAAAACAAGCAGCCCAAUUGAAAAAUAGAUAAAGUAAUUGGAAAGGCAUCCCUCCAAAGAAGACCUACAAGUCGCCAAUAAGAACCUGGAAAAUACUCAACAUCACUAGUCACUAGGGAAAUGCAAAUCAAAACUGUGAUGAGGUAUCAUCUCACACCCCUUUAGAAUGGCUACUAUCAUAACCAAGAAUAACAAGUGGUCAGAAGAUGUGGAGAAAUUGGAACCCUUGUGCAUUGCUGGUGGAAAUGUAAUGCGGUGCAGCAGUGGAAAACAGUUUGCAGUUCCUUGAAAAUUUAGACAUAGGAUUACCAUAUGACCCAACCAUUCCACCCUUAGGUAUGUACUGAAAAGAAUUGAAAGCAGGACUCAAAUAGAUACUCAUACACACGUUAAUAGCAGCAUCAUUUACAAUAGCCAAAAGGUGGAAACAACCCAAAUAUCCAUCAGCAGAUGAAUGGAUGAACAAAAUGUGGUUUAUACAUAUGAUGGAAUUCAGCCAUAAAAAACGAAGGAA